rnacentral:lncRNA from 1 species
AAAAGUUUUAUUGAAACAUGGCCCUGUGUCAUUUGUUUUCAUGUUGUCAGUACCUGCUUUAGUUGACAGUCCAGUGGGCUUGGGUUUUUUUGUUUGUUUGUUUGAUUGAUUGAUAAGUUUUAUAGGAGUAUUGUGUGUGUGUGUGUUUGUUUGUUUGUUUGUUUGUUUGUUUGUUGAGACAGAGUAGCCUAGACUGGCCUUGAACUCACUAUGUAGCUGAGGGUGGCCUUGAACUCAUGAUCCUCCUGGCUCUAACUUUCAAGUGGUGAUAUUACAAGUGCGUACGUAUAGGAUUUCAGAUGUUCAACACCAUGCUCAGCUUUCUGCUGGGGUGCUGAGGAUCUGACCUCAGGUUCUCAUGCUUCCGUACUGAGCCCAUCCACACUUUGUUCUGUACCUUCCACAGGAGCAGAGGAAUGGGAGAAAGCCAGAAAUCCAUUGAAAGAUACUUUUAAUCCACUUAGGAAUACUUACGUAAAUACAUCUUGAAAACUUAAACUGGAAAUAAGCUUACACCAGAAUGAAACCAGUAGGCUGUGCAGGGGCUGGCUGUGGUCAGGACUCAGCAGGUGAAGGUGCCUGCUGCCCAGCCUGAUGAUCCGAGUCCACUUUCUGGAAUCUCCAUGGUUGACUGCCUCCAAGAGUUCCUUCUACAGCUGGAAUGCAAGAUCCUGAGUGGAGUCCAGGUGGUGGGUCUGGGAGCCUCCAGAGAGUCAUGGCCAGUCAGGAUGGCUGCCGUCCCCGUGCUUCUGGAGAGGGGCUUAGCCAAGAGGAAGCCACCCCAAAGGCUGAUCUCCUGACAGUUGAGCCGGUCCCCUGACAUGUGGCAUGCUGCAGGUGGUGCCUUCCCUUUCCUCUGUUGUCCAGCUCUGACAGACAGCCAGGAUGGCAGGGUGUCCAGCCAGGCCACUGGUGGUAUAGUGCCAGGGAAAUGUUAGUGCCCCCCCC